UUGGUUAAAUUGUUUAAGUCGUCUCCAUAGACUCCUUAAGUUCUUUUUUUUACACUUAGCGUCUUUUUUGAAAGCAACUUUUUCAUUUGUGUGUUAAGCACAUUAUAAAUCCGGUUUAACUCAGCCAUGUAUGGAACUAUUUUUUAAGCCAAGGUGGAAAACGUUUUUAUGGUGUACCUUAUGUAUAAUAAUAGUGCCAAUACUCUGUGAGAAUGCGUAUGAAGACUAACAGAUUCUUCUAGCCUUUUACAAGGUUAUGUUUUGUCCAUUUUGUGGUGGGAACCUUCAUGUUGCUCUGUCCUAUUGUGGCUCAUGUGGCAAAAAUAUUCAGUUUUUAAGGAAUCAUCAAGACAACGAUCCUGAAACCACAACUGCAGUUGAUCUUAUAAUGAAGUAUUUCACAGAGGGCCACAGUUAUGAAGUAAUUAGAGACUUCCUUGCAGCCAAACACAAUAUUUCAGUGAGUCUUAGCACUUUAAAAAGAAGAUUACAAAGUGUAGGCCUGACCAGGAGGACAAAGUACACACCAAUUGUUACUGUGCAGGCAGCCAUUUCUGAUGAACUUAAGGGAUCAGGCCAACUGCUGGGUUACCGAGCGAUGUGGCAGACCCUUAAACAGAAGUAUUCUCUUAUCGUCAGAAGAGGGGAUGUGAUGCAACUAAUGGGAGAAUUGGAUCCGUCUGCAGUAGAAAACAGGUCUAGAUGAAGAUUUGUCCGCAGAGCAUAUCAUUCAGUGGGACCCAAUGAAAUUUGGCAUGUUGAUGGGUACGACAAAUUAAAACCCUAUGGAAUUGCGAUAAGUGGCUGCAAUGAUGGGGUCUCCAGAAAAAUCAUGUAGCUCAAAUGUGGAAAGUCCAACAAUGAUCCUAGGAUCAUUGCUCAAAAUUAUUUGCAGUGUAUUUCUGAGUUUGGAGUUUUUCCAUUGCGCCUCUGGACUUACUGCGGAACAGAAAAUGGACUGAUGGCAGCACUUCCUUGUUGCUUGAGAUCAUGGCACACAGAUGAAUUUGCAGGAGCCUAAAGCCACAUGUAUGGGACUUCAACAUCCAACCAACGUAUUGAAAGCUGGUGGUGGUACUUUCGGAAACAAAGGAGUCAGUUUUGCAUGGAUCUGUUCAACGACUUGAGGGAAAGGCACCUCUUCAAUGGGAGCAGACAACACAUGUGUCUGGUGUGAUACUGUUUCCUGGGUGUCCUUCAGAAAGAACUGGACGAAUACAAGCAACUAUGGAACACUCACACUAUUCGUCCUGUUCACCAGUCCAAGUGCUCAUCUGGUAAACCAUAGGCUAUGUAUCACCUGCCUCACAGAUUCAACGGAGGAAAUUGUGGAUUCCCUGCAUCUGCACAAGCCCUGAGCCAGUUCAACACCCUCAUGCCCACAGCAGGAACUCCAAGUGAUGAUGAACAGGAAAAUUGGUUUGAAGAACUGUAGCGACAAAGUGGUUAGCCACCACCUCUUCAAUGGGAAGCUGCUGUAGAAAUCUACAUCACUCUGAAGAACAUGGCUGAUCUAUAAAAUAUUAAGACUGUAAAAUACACAACAACCCUUUUCAUGUAAACAGAAAAGUCAGUCAGGUCUUGUUUAUUUUCGGUAGCAAUGCAGAGACGGUUGCUGUUACUCAUACAAUCUGACAAAAUAAAGAAUGUU